UACGUAGGUGGCAAGCGUUGUCCGGAUUCAUUGGGCGUAAAGCGCGGGCAGGCGGCCUGCUCAGUCGGCCGUGAAAGCGCCGGGCUCAACUCGGCGAGGUCGGGCGAUACUGGCAGGCUGGAGGCUGGUAGAGGGCGGUGGAAUUCCGGGUGUAGUGGUGGAAUGCGUAGAGCUCCGGAGGAACACCAGUGGCGAAGGCGGCCGCCUGGGCCAGUCCUGACGCUGAGCCGCGAAAGCGUGGGGAGCGAUCCGG
rnacentral:rRNA from 1 species